rnacentral:rRNA from 1 species
AGCGAACGUUAGCGGCGGGCCUAACACAUGCAAGUCGAACGCGAAAGGUCUUCGGACUGAGUAGAGUGGCGCACGGGUGAGUAACACGUAGGUAAUCUACCCUUUGGCGGGGGAUAACGUUCCGAAAGGAGCGCUAAUACCGCAUAAGACCACGGAGUCUCCGGACGCUGUGGGAAAAGGUGGCCUCUUCUUGAAAGCUACCACCGAAGGAUGAGCCUGCGUCCCAUCAGCUAGUUGGUAAGGUAAUGGCUUACCAAGGCGAAGACGGGUAGCUGGUUUGAGAGAAUGAUCAGCCACACUGGCACUGGAACACGGGCCAGACUCCUACGGGAGGCAGCAGUGAGGAAUAUUGGGCAAUGGGCGAAAGCCUGACCCAGCCACGCCGCGUGAGUGAUGAAGGCCUCGGUUGUAAGGUACCGUACGUCGGUACGGGACGGAAG